rnacentral:misc_RNA from 1 species
CACUGGGUCUUACCCGAGCCGUGAGGAACCGGUUGCCUGUAGUGGGCACGGUUUGGUGCACAACAAACGUUGAGCCGCAAGGGAUUUUGCGGUGAUGGGACUGCCAGACACACUAUUGGGCUUUGAGACAACAGGCCCGUGCCCCUUUUUUGGGGGGUGGCAUCCGGUUGCGGGUGUCGGCGUGUUGUUGCCUCACUUUGGUGGUGGGGUGUGGUGUUUGAUUUGUGGAUAGUGGUUGCGAGCAUCU